rnacentral:rRNA from 1 species
GACGAACGCUGGCGGCGUGCUUAACACAUGCAAGUCGAACGGAAAGGCCCUGCUUUUUUGGGUUGCUCGAGUGGCGAACGGGUGAGUAACACGUGAGUAACCUGCCCUUGACUUUGGGAUAACUUCAGGAAACUGGGGCUAAUACCGGAUAGGAGCUCCUGCUGCAUGGUGGGGGUUGGAAAGUUUCGGCGGUUGGGGAUGGACUCGCGGCUUAUCAGCUUGUUGGUGGGGUAGUGGCUUACCAAGGCUUUGACGGGUAGCCGGCCUGAGAGGGUGACCGGCCACAUUGGGACUGAGAUACGGCCCAGACUCCUACGGGAGGCAGCAGUGGGGAAUAUUGCACAAUGGGCGGAAGCCUGAUGCAGCAACGCCGCGUGCGGGAUGACGGCCUUCGGGUUGUAAACCGCUUUCGCCUGUGACGAAGCGUGAGUGACGGUAAUGGGUAAAGAAGCACCGGCUAACUACGUG